rnacentral:rRNA from 1 species
ACGCGAGCUGGGUUCAGAACGUCGUGAGACAGUUCGGUCCCUAUCCGUCGCAGGCGUAGGAAAUUUGAGAAGACCUGUCCUUAGUACGAGAGGACCGGGAUGGACGUACCUCUGGUGUACCAGUUGUUCUGCCAAGGGCAUGGCUGGGUAGCUAUGUACGGAAUGGAUAAGCGCUGAAAGCAUCUAAGCGCGAAGCCAACUUCAAGAUAAGAUUUCCCACCGUAAGGGUAAGACCCCAGAAAGACUAUCUGGUUGAUAGGUCGAAGGUGUAAGUGCAGCAAUGUAUUUAGCUUAUCGAUACUAAUAGGUCGAGGACUUGACCAAU